rnacentral:misc_RNA from 1 species
GAUGAAGAACGUAGCGAAAUGCGAUACGUAAUGUGAAUUGCAGAAUUCAGUGAAUCAUCGAGUCUUUGAACGCACAUUGCGCCCUCUGGUAUUCCGGAGGGCAUGCCUGUCCGAGCGUCAUUGCUGCCCUCAAGCACGGCUUGUGUGUUGGGCCCCGUCCUCCUUCCGGGGGGCGGGUCCGAAAGGCAGCGGCGGCACCGCGUCCGGUCCUCAAGCGUAUGGGGCUUUGUCACUCGCUUUGUAGGCCUGGCCGGCGCUUGCCGAUCAACCAAACUUUUUAUCAGGUUGACCUCGGAUCAGGUAGGGAUACCCGCUGAACUUAAGCAUAUCAAUAAGCGGAGGA